ensembl:lncRNA
CUCUGUUCUGAGAAAUUAUAGAUCUACCAGAGAACGUGCACGCCCAGAAAUUGACCAGGUAAAGCUGGACUUCCCGAGCGGUUAGUGGGUCCCCACCUCCUGACGCCCAGGGGUGCCCUGCCCAGCACCAUCCUGUCUGUUCCCAAGCCCCAAAGCCUGUAGCCAUUUCCGUGGCUUCCUGGUGCCUCACAGCGUGGCCAGCACCAUGCCAGACCGGCCGCGCCUCGCUCCUGGUUUUAGAGAGCCUGUCAUGUCAGGGUGAACU